rnacentral:misc_RNA from 1 species
UUAUCACAUCUCAUGAUAUGGAUCCAAACAGAUAUCUGUAUGGGUGGGAUGGAGAAAAUGGAUCCUUAUAGAUGAACCAACUAGUUUGUGAUUAAGGUUUAGUUGAACUGAGUUGUCAUAAUUAUGUGGUGUUCCUUGGGUGUUAAGCUACAUCAGAGUCAAGAUGGAUAGUUUAUCAUUUUCACAUUUCUGGAAUUCAAACUUGAAAGUAAAUUCAUGUGUGGGAUUUUGGAUGGGGGAGGUGUUGGUUACAGUCAGAUGGCAAAUUGGUUCCCUGAACUUCUUCUUUUUCUUUGUUAUAGGGAAUGGAAAACAGUGCCAUGAAACAUCUUGCUUGGAUGGUUAAAGUUCCGUUUUAUAGGAAUUAUAGCUAAAUUAUUUGCACUGGAAAUUUAUGAAUAUGUCUCUAUAUGAUGCAAAUUGCACCCUAUCAGUUUGUCAUAAUUUCUACAUCAUCAUGGAUGCUAAGUCAUGCAACAAUGUUCCUUCCCUUUGUCUUGUUACAAUAUAUUAUUUGUUCAAUUGAUUUUCUGUAGUCCCGUUUCUCUAUGUAAUAUAUCCUUUUUGGGUUGAGACGAGUGGAUUAAAAUAGAAAGAUUUGGUAAAUGUUUUGAUUGUUUGGGUUGUGAUGGUUGCUAUUUAAUAGUAAAGUUUUAGUUUCUUUUCUUCUCCCAUGUCUUCUGAACUUAAACAGAAGGUUUCUUAAUCUUAAAAAUUCCAAAAUUAGGUGUAGCUUACACUUGUGGCUAUCUCAUAUGUCCAAUUAUUUUGCAUUGCAGAGAAAAGUUGAAC